rnacentral:lncRNA from 1 species
AUGGCUGCACUGUACUGUUCGUUACGAAUCGUUCUUGUUGCAGCUUUCCAGUCAUAUUUCUCCAUCUCUACGCGUGCUGUUUUCCCCAUAGUUUCUCUCAAUUCAGCGUCAUGCAAAAGAGGCACUAGUUUGCUCAAGCAGUCGUCAAGGUCCCCAGGAUUAAACAGAUACCCAAUCUUGCCCUGCUGAUCGUCAGGGAUGAUAUCUGGAACUCCACCGGCACGGGCAGCUACUACAUGCGUGCAGUUUUCCCCAUAGUUUCUCUCAAUUCAGCGUCAUGCAAAAGAGGCACUAGUUUGCUCAUGCAGUCGUCGAGGUCCCCAGGAUUAAACAGAUAUCCAAUCUUGCCCUGCUGAUCAUCAGGGAUGAUAUCUGGAACUCCACCAGCACGGGCAGCUACUACAGGAAGCCCCGAUGACAUGGCCUCCAAAACGACGAGCCCCAGUGUCUCUGAC